AGAGAACAAGAAAAAUAUAUCCUGGCUAAGAGAAUAAAGAAUAGUGCAUGAUAGCAAAGUUGAUAUAUGCUGGGAUUCCAACUGCAUGGGCCCAUUGGAGGAAUAAAAGAAAAUAAAACCCAUGUUCAGAAACUGAAGAUUUUCUCACAGUGAGGACAUCCUCCCAGUGAGCCACGUGUUUCUUACAAGUCCUUCUCCCAAGUAGAAACAUAAUCGGAUGUAAAGGCAUCAACUUCAGUGGUUGUUCUACCUCCCAUGAAGUAAGUCUUCGCUCUCCUGCU